rnacentral:lncRNA from 13 species
GUCACAUCUCAUCCUUUAUCACUGUUAUUUAUAUUCACCAAAUCUGAUUUUUUUUUUUCAAACGUGCCAUCAAUUAAAUGAGCCUGACAAGAUCUGAUUUCCACAGCCCCGCACUGAUUCGUAUUAAUUACAUUCUCCUCCUGUAAUUCUCAAAGUUAAUCCAACUCCCUCACAGCUGUUACAUCAUUUUCCCAGGAAUUACUGUCAACUGGCAACCCCAUAAUUACCGGGCUGGUUUUUUACCCAUGGAAACACCGAUAUCCCUGUUAAAUUGUGCAAUUUCUUUGCAAAUACCGUGGUCCUGCAAGACUUAACUGCAACAGCGAUCCAAGCCCUUUGUGUCCAGCUCUUUCAAAGCUUUUCACGUGAAUUCUCUCUAUUUUUUGACCCAGAGCAUCCAAGUUUUGUGUUUACUUCGUAGCAGCCACCCGAAAAUGAAAAGGGUUUCUCGUUCCCUAUGGUUGUGGUUCCUGGGGUUUUUAUUUUUGGCGCAGAAAUAUUGAGCCUGUAUUUACCUUUUGUUUUGUCAUGAACUCCUAAUUUUUAUUAUUUAUAUUUCCCUGCGGUGAGGCACUCACAGCACGGGCAAGAAUCCUCAGUUUGCUUCCUUUUAAAGCAUUUCUUCUGUAAAUACCCCUUAGGUUUUGCUCCCCUUGCGCGUCUCCUUUUGCUCUUUGCUUCCUUGAUCCAUUUUCCAUCAUUCCUAGAUUUUGAUCGGGGUCCCGUUUGAUAUUUUUCCCGCUGCCCAUUUCUUUUCCCGUCUCUAACCCCAGUGGGAACGGCCGCUCGGAGCUCAGCCUUUGGAACCCUUCAACCAGCGCAGCCUCGGAGAUUUUUGUUAAUGCUUAAACAACAACCACCGACUUUAUCUCGCUGCAUCCUUAUCUCCGCCCGUGCGGCGGCCGAAUUCCAUUUGGGAAAACGCUCCGGGAUGGAUUUAUCGGUGGCUCCGGCUCUAUCCCGCCGGUGGGUCGGGAAUGCCGGCUGGGUCUGCGGCUCCCGGGGUGAAUUCCCAGCGAACAGGUACCUGGCUCGCCCCUCCCAGCCCGCGGGGCGGGAGCGAGGGGCAGGAUCGGGGUUUGGGCUCUGCCCACACCCACUCGAGUCCCGGCGGGCGGAAAGGAGCGGCCCGGGAGCGAUCCCGCAGCGAUCCCGCAGCGAUCCCGCAGCGAUCCCGGCAUGGGGAACAUCGCCUGUGUCCCGCAGGCUCCCGGCGGCUUCCGGAGCUCCUUCCGAAGGAAACCCUCGCUGAAGAAGGAACAAAAUGGCAAGAAAAAGCUGCCCAACUUUUUUGGGAUGGACGGAGGGCAGGAGAGAGACACGACCACGGACAAAAUCCUGCAGUAUAUUCCAGCGAAGGCAAGUGCCAGCACCUCCAGCCUGCUCCCCACUGCUCCAGGGGUUUAUUCCCACCCACCCCGAGCGCAGCACUCAGGAGGGAUGUUGGGUUUGGGUCUGGGGGUAGCAGCAGCUCUGUCCCAAGGAGAUGGAGCCCAGGAAGGGAUGAGCCCCUCCCAGCAGCUGAGUUCCCUGCCCAGGGUCCCCGUGCAGGUGUGGAGGGGACCUGGAUCAGCCAGGAGCUGUGA